AGUUCAACUUGACCAUCAUCAAAGAGGGCAACUCUGGCACAGGCAGGCAGGGGAGCCUGGAAGCAGCUGACCAAAUGGCCUCUUUCCUAUUCAGCUCAUUUGGAAGCAAGAGACACUGACUGGCUGAAGUUGUGGGUCUUCAGGCUGAACCUCAGUGUGUGGCGUCAGAUGUUUUGCUGUGCCACCCUGGCUGCUUGCUUAGAAAGCUUUGGGG